rnacentral:lncRNA from 1 species
AUGUGGAUAUUGUCAGCAGUAGGGGAGGACAGUACGUUGGGCCAUCCCAGGCCCGUGUCACCCGCAUCUCUCACCUUGCAGACCCCACAGAGGGUCUGGCAUGGGAGAGCCACGCCCUCAGGCCCAGGGACUCUGCCCGCCACUCCACACUCCUUCAGAGCAGUCAAGGGCGAGGGAGAUAGAAGUUGCCUGCUCCUUUUUUUCAGAGUGUCAGGCCCCACCUGGGAUCAGCAGGAGGCGCCAUGGACACUGGGUGACACCUGGGAGAGCUUCAGGCCCAGGGACACCCUAGGCCUUGUGCCCAGCCCGUCCAGCCCCAGGAGGGCCAGGCCCUCAUCGCAAGCUCUUGUGUCUCAUGGUCACAGGACUGGGCUUGCUCUGGUGGCUUGCUUUUUAAACUCAGUGAGGACCAAACAGACACCCCUGCCCCUCCCACAGCCUGUCACGGGGCCAGCAUCUGGCCCUCUGGGUUUAGGUGGCUCCAUGUCCCUUCUGCCUUCCCACCUCAGGGACAGGACCCCAUCCCCUGCAAGGUCACUGCCCAGUGGCCUUGUCCCCCCAAAAGGACAAUCCAAGCACAGGUCUCCAGGCCUCCCCCGACCCCUGUUCCCACUUCUCUGCAUUUCUCUCUCUCUCCAUUACUGAGGCUUCCCUUGCAGACUGGCUUUUGAGGAAAAAAAGCCUUGGAAACCCCAUUGUGAGGUUUGACGCGAGCCUGGCUUCUCUUCUCGCUCUGCCCGUUGGACAUGGCUGGGAGCAUCCAGGUCCAAAAAGAAGCUUUGUGCUGAAACUUGAGUCACAGGCCCCAGGCCCAAGCACCUGGAGAGACACCCCUAAGAUAGUUUCCCAGCCAUCCCCACCCUGAAACUGAGCCUAGUUUUGAUUUGAGCAGAGUGCUCGGUAGAGAAAGAGUCUUGACCCUGAUACUGGCCCUGCAGCACAGAGGCCAGAGAGCAAGGAGAGGCACCGGCUUCCCGGAUGCAGGCCGGGGGACAACAGGAGUGUGAUGGGAGAAGCAGCCAGAGGCAAGAUUUGGCUCUCCCUGCAGCCAGCUGUGAGCGAUGCAGGUUCAAGAACACACAGGAGGAGAGAAUUUUAUGACGAAGUCCCGGCUUUGAGGCAGGAUCCUGCAAGGGGCCCUUUUCAUUGGCAAGUGUCCCUCGCUUGGGGACGGCCCUGUGUUUGGGUAAUAGGAGGUUUUUAGGCCCAAAAAGAGGUUGCCCCCCCCCCCCCCCCGGCGCCCCUCACAUCCUCUCUGCCUGAGCCUCUCACCCCAGCUCACCGCAGGUGAACAUUGUGGUGAGACCCGAACCAGCCCUUGGCACAAAAUCCUGCCAGGGCCCUCCCCGCCCCCAGGGCACUCCAGGUGAAAAUGGGACACUCAGGACACAGCCACUUGCACGGCACAAGACAAGGAGUGCUUGUUUUGGUGUUUUGUGUGGGGUCUGAAUGUGCCAUUGGGACCUCACUGGCCUCAGUGUGUAAAAUGGGGCUGGUGCCAGGCUCUGCCCGCCUCACAGGGACCAUUGCAGAGGCCACGGGGGAUGUGGGUAGGUGGCGGCAAAGCAGCGGCAGGUGCCUCACAGUCUCAGGCCUGCGGUGCAGGUCAGCAAAAGGAUUAGGAAUCACGUGGGCACACGCAUCC